CGGCGCGGGCCCGCGCACCCCCCGCCCCGGCCCCCAGCACGCCCCGAGGGCGCCAGGAUAGGAGUGGAACGGGCUGAUUCAGGGGUUUGCUGUGGAGGCAUCGCGCGUGGGACAACAGCCUGCGACUGGCGAGACCAAGGAAACUCGCUGCCGGGGUCCUGGCUGGACCUAGCGGAAACUUAGGUCUCCGGCAGCCAGGAACCUUGCCACCCUUGGCCCACCCCGGAAUUUGUAGAUGAACUACCCAGGAGCGGUGUAUGAGGCGACAGCGGCGUGCAGACCCGCUUUGGGACAGGUUAUAAACAUCUUCCUUUUCAAGAACGCUCAAGCCAGUCUAAGAUCUGAGGCACCGGUGAGGAGAUAACAACAGCCAAUUAUCCUACCUUGGUAUGCUGAGCAACUUAACCUUGAAGCAGAAUUAACUCUUAUCAGUGGUCUUAUUAGUGGCCUUAAAACACAGGGAUGGGGAUGCCCAAAGAUAAUUUAGUAAGUAUGAUUAAUUUUUCAAUGAUUCCAGAGCUCAAAGAGUUCUGUAAGUGAACCCUCUGCCCCAAAACUGAAGUAAGAUGGUUUUCAUGUAUCAGAAAAUUCUGCCUUAAUUUAACCUAAAUUCUUAAGGGCUUUUAAACCCAUUUUCCUCCCAAGUUCUGCAUUAAGUCACUCUCCUUCCUUAUAAUUAAAAUGUUUGCAGAAACUGUUGCCAUCUAGCCUUCUGUUCUUUAAACAUUUACUUUUCUCCCUUAUUUCCUAUUUUUAAGUCAGCUUUGCUGUUCUUCUGAACCCUUUCAUUAUCUUCAUGUCUUUCUUACUGAAAGUCAAACAUAUCAAAAGACUUCCCACAUUAAAUAAAUUUCUGUUUUAUCCUUAAUGGAACACUGUGUUUGUUAUUAGUUUCAUUCAGUUGACUUGGAGCUGCCGCAUCUCAUUUCUAACAUUCAGUAA